UUACGGUCUUAUCACGAGGAUUCACCGGUUUUCGUACGAACUUCGAAGUUAAGCAACAUCGAGCCUGGUAAUUACUUAGGAGGGUGAACGUUUGAGUAUACCAGGGUCUGU